rnacentral:rRNA from 1 species
AGAACAAACGCUGGCGGCGUGCCUAAUACAUGCAAGUCGAACGAGGAAGUACCUUCGGGUAUUGUACUAGUGGCGUACGGGUGAGUAACGCGUGGAUAAUCUUCCUUAGAGUGGGGAAUAACUAGUCGAAAGAUUAGCUAAUACCGCAUAAGACCACAGGGGCUUCGGCUCAAGGGGUUAAAGGAGCAAUUCGCUCUAAGAUGAGUCUGCGCCCGAUUAGCUAGUUGGUGAGGUAACGGCUCACCAAGGCGACGAUCGGUAGCUGGUCUGAGAGGACGGCCAGCCACACUGGGACUGAGACACGGCCCAGACUCCUACGGGAGGCAGCAGUAGGGAAUAUUGCACAAUGGAGGAAACUCUGAUGCAGCGACGCCGCGUGAGUGAUGAAGGCCUUCGGUUGUAAAGCUCUGUUCUCAGGAAAAAGCAAGUGAUUGUACCUGAGAGAAAGGACCGGCUAACUCGUGCCAGCAGCCGCGUAA